UCAAAGUUGAAGCGAUAGUUAUAUUAUGAGUAUAUUUAGAUUGAAAUUUCAAGUUAUUUUUUGAUGACAUUGAUGUAUAUACCAAACGCAACCAUUGCCAACCAUUC